CUGUGACCACAGCAACAUGAGAUUUUUGACCUUGUUCAAAGUUCUAAAACUGGACCUGAAAACACACAACCAUAAUGAAUGUUCAAUGAUUAAUCAGGAUCUGUGAACUGAUGGUUGAAAAACAGACUUGUAAGAAACCACCGACAGUUACUACCUCAGAGGAGUGGACUUGGAGCAUGGGAGGAAGCACUUGUUCCUUCUAACCUUCUGUACUGUGUGCACUUUGCCCACCCUCUCUGUUCUGUGGAGAUACUGAUUCUGGGGGCAGCCAGGUGCUAUGUCAUGAUGACAUUCACAGUGAGGAACGGAGGCCUCCUGCCAACAGCCAUGUGAGCGAGCCACCUUGGAAGAAAUCUUCCAGCCCCGGUCAAGAUUUCAGUUGACUGCAACUGUGGCCAACAUCUUUCCUGCAACCUUGUAAGACUCUGAAGAAGAACCACUCAGCUAAGCUGCUCCUAAAUUCCUGACCCAAAGAAAUUAAGAGAUAAUUUUUUUUAUUUUAAGCUACCAAUUUUGGGAUAAUUUGUUACACAAAAGAUAUUUAAUGAGGUACAUUUGGAUGAGGAGUCUAUGAUUUUCAUUAGAUUCUCAGUAAAACUGAUGAUCUGAAAAAGGGUAAAAAUUACUACUCCAAAGCAGGUACUAGAUUUUUAAAAAUCUUUGGUCUAUAGUUUCUACGGGUUAAUUUUUAUACAAGUUUGGGAUUAGGUUCAACAAAUGAGAAAAUUCAAUUCUCCAAACCACUGGAAGACUCAAAAGAUUGUUUAAAAAUGCUGUUGUAGGGGGACU